rnacentral:tRNA from 1 species
ACCCUCGUGGCGCAGCGGUACCGCUUCUGAUUGUAAAAUCGACGAUUGUGGAUUCGAUUUCCAAUCGGAGGUG